GGACCAAGGAGUCUAGCAUGUGCGCGAGUCAUUGGGAUUUUUACUAAACCUAAAGGCGCAAUGAAAGUGAAGGUCCGCCUUGCGCGGACCGAGGGAGGAUGGACCGYACCGAGGUACGGUCUCGCACUCCCGGGGCGUCUCGUUCUCAUCGCGAGAAGAGGCGCACCCAGAGCGUACACGCUGGGACCCGAAAGAUGGUGAACUAUGCCUGGUCAGGACGAAGUCAGGGGAAACCCUGAUGGAGGUCCGUAGCGAUUCUGACGUGCAAAUCGAUCGUCGGAACUGGGUAUAGGGGCGAAAGACUAAUCGAACCAUCUAGUAGCUGGUUCCCUCCGAAGUUUCCCUCAGGAUAGCUGGCGCUCGCUUCUCGCGAGUCUCAUUCGGUAAAGCGAAUGAUUAGAGGCAUUGGGGUCGAAACGGCCUCAACCUAUUCUCAAACUUUAAAUGGGUGAGAUCUCCGGCUUGCUUGAACUGUGAAGCCGCGAGAUAUCGGAUCAGAGUGCCAAGUGGGCCACUUUUGGUAAGCAGAACUGGCGCUGUGGGAUGAACCAAACGCAGAGUUAAAGCGCCUAAAUCGACGCUUAUGGGAUACCAUGAAAGGCGUUGGUAACUUAAGACAGCAGGACGGUGGCCAUGGAAGUCGGA
rnacentral:rRNA from 1 species